rnacentral:rRNA from 1 species
UUUUGGACAAUGGGGGAAACACUGAUACAGACAUCGGGCGUGUAUGAUGAAUGCAUUCGGUAUGUAAAGUACUUUUGGUAUAGAAGAAAAGGUAUCGCCUAAUACGAGAUACUGCUGACGGUAUCUGCAGAAUAAGCACCGGCUAUCUAAGUGCAAGCAGCCGUGGUAAUACGUAGGAUGCAAGCGUUAAUCGGAAUUAUUGGGCGUAAAGGGUGUUGAGGCGGUUCGGUAAGAAAGAUGUGAAAUCACAGGGCUCAACCUUGGAACUGCAUUUUUAACUGCCGAGCUAGAGUAUGUCAGAGGAGGGUAGAAUUCCACGUGUAGCAGUGAAAUGCGUAGAUAUGUGGAGGAAUACCGAUGGCGAAGGCAGCACCCUGGGAUAAUACUGACGCUCAGACACGAAAGCGUGGGGAGCAAACAG